rnacentral:rRNA from 1 species
UCAUCACAUCCUGGGGCUGAAGUAGGUCCCAAGGGUAUGGCUGUUCGCCAUUUAAAGUGGUACGCGAGCUGGGUUUAGAACGUCGUGAGACAGUUCGGUCCCUAUCUGCCGUGGGCGCUGGAGAACUGAGGGGGGCUGCUCCUAGUACGAGAGGACCGGAGUGGACGCAUCACUGGUGUUCGGGUUGUCAUGCCAAUGGCACUGCCCGGUAGCUAAAUGCGGAAGAGAUAAGUGCUGAAAGCAUCUAAGCACGAAACUUGCCCCGAGAUGAGUUCUCCCUGAGACUUUAGGUCUCCUGAAGGAACGUUGAAGACGACGACGUUGAUAGGCCGGGUGUGUAAGCGCAGCGAUGCGUUGAGCUAACCGGUACUAAUGAACCGUGAGGCUUAACCUUACAACGCCGAAG